UUUGAGCGCUGAUGAUCUUGACGUUAAGUCAAGUUCCUGAAUCAUUUCUGAUGUUUUUAAGUCACUACCUCAUCUGAGCUCUGA